rnacentral:tRNA from 1 species
GACAGCUUGGCCGAGUGGUUAAGGCGUUAGUCUGCUAAGUUAAUGGGGCACCCGCGUAAGUUCGAAUCUCACAGCUGUCG